GGCAGCACUAUACUAAAAUUGGAACGAUACAAAGAAGAUUAGCAUGGCCCCUGUACAAGGAUGACAUGCAAAUUUGUGAAGCAUUUCAUAUUAAA
rnacentral:snRNA from 1 species